GGAUGCUAACGCAAUGUGAU
rnacentral:sRNA from 1 species